GGAAAAGGAAAGCAUUCAACAAACAAACAAAAAUGAUUCACAAAUCAGGCAGCCCUCAGAACCAAAAGGUUCUAAGAACUCCUGAUCUACAGUGUGUUUAGGCAGUUUUUAUGGAUAGAAAAUAGAAGUGAGGCAAAAAGGACAACUUAAUUGUUACAGUUUAUUUCAAUUAGCUGGCCCCCUACAACUGAGGAAAGCUCAGCUACUGUAACUAACCAGAAUCCAGCUACCCAUAUACGAGUAUCCUCCCAAGUUAAUUGGUUUUACUAGCGUGAAGGACUCCAUAUUGGUUAGAUCUGUUGGGCCUAGAACAGGAACUUAGUCUAAAUCAAUGGCCUCCUACAAAUUUUAUUCAACAUUUUUUUUCAACUAUAAAAUGGGAAUAGUGACACCUCAGAGUGGUGGUGUAAGUUUUAAGGGGCACUAGGUAUAUAGAGAGCUUAGCUCUGUGACUGCCACAUAAGAGGCACAAAACCCAAAAUCCAUGAUGAAUAUUAUUUGAUAUAACUUCAAGCGUAAACUAGGGCAACUCUUACACGGUUUGACAUCUUGAAGUCUCUAAAUUUAUUUCUAAAUUUAAAAAAUAAUAAUGGCAUUAUUUUCCUUACAAUAAUGGCAAAGCACAAUGAUAUAAUGAGUUUUUUUUUUUCCCCGUCAACUACAACCACUACAUUGAAGAAUAGAAAUUUAAUUUGAACACUAGGACAUGGGAUAUUUGUCCUUCAGGAAUCUGUAGUUUCAUAAGUUCAGUGCCAAUAAAGGUUUUUGAGGCAGUCAUGUAGACGUGUUGAAAAAGAUUCUGACAGUCACCAUAAUAUGAGCUGGUGACUAUAACCCAGCCAUCUGAGUGUCUGUUCUGGUGUCCAGGGCCAAUACCAGCUCUGCAGUUCUGUCUUUUUUUUUCCCACAGGAAUGUAAGACUCAAAUGAGGAAAUGCAAUGAAAGCAAUUUGAAAAGUGUACAACACUGUGCAGAUAAUAGAAUUGUUAUGAGGCCUCUGUUCUGAAAGCCAGAGAAGAUAACACCCUAAAGAAAUAAUAGACCAUCUCAUAAAGAAGUUUCAUUGUUUU
rnacentral:lncRNA from 1 species